rnacentral:tRNA from 1 species
UAGCUCAGGGGUAGAGCAUUCGACUGCAGAUCGAGAGGUCUCUGGUUCAAACCCGGN